rnacentral:rRNA from 1 species
UCUGUGAGGGACUGCGGAGGACAUUACUGAAUAAACUUGGUUGGGUUGCUGCUGGCCCUUAUGAGCAUGUGCACGCCUCAUCCAUUUUUAACCACCUGUGCACCUUGUGUAGACUGGGAACUCUCGAGGAGAAACCACUCCUCGGUCUGAGAAUUGCUGUGUGAAAGCCAGCUGUCUCAUUCCUCAGUUCUAUGUCCUUAUACACACCCCAUAAGAAUGUACUAGAAUGUUGUAAAUGGCCUGUUGUGCCUUAUAAAACAAAUACAACUUUCAACAACGGAUCUCUUGGCUCUCGCAUCGAUGAAGAACGCAGCGAAAUGCGAUAAGUAAUGUGAAUUGCAGAAUUCAGUGAAUCAUCGAAUCUUUGAACGCACCUUGCGCUCCUUGGUAUUCCGAGGAGCAUGCCUGUCUGAGUGUCAUGAAAUUCUCAACCUUUCAAGCUUGUUUUUUUUCUUUCUUAUAAGCUAGUUAGGCUUGGAUUGUGGAAGUUGCUGGCUUGCGAAAAGUCAGCUCUUCUUAAAUGCAUUAGCGAGAUCACCGCUGACCAUCUUUGGUAUGAUAAUUAAUUUAUAUCAUUGAAUCAUCAGCUUCCUCCCAUGGAAGGUUUUGCUACGAAUGGUCUCUAACUGAGACAACUUUUGACAAUUUGACCUCAAAUCAGGUAGACACCCCCU